UACGGGGGGCGCAAGCGUUGUUCGGAUUUACUGGGCGUAAAGGGCGCGUAGGCGGUCAGCACAAGUCAGUUGUGAAAUCUCCGGGCUUAACUCGGAAAGGUCAACUGAUACUGUGCGACUAGAGUGCAGAAGGGGCAACUGGAAUUCUCGGUGUAGCGGUGAAAUGCGUAGAUGUCGAGAGGAACACCUGCGGCGAAGGCGGGUUGCUGGGCUGACACUGACGCUGAUGCGCGAAAGCCAGGGGAGCGAACGGG
rnacentral:rRNA from 1 species